rnacentral:rRNA from 1 species
GGAAUCUUGCGCAAUGGGCGAGAGCCUGACGCAGCGACGCCGCGUGAGCGAUGAAGGCCCUCGGGUCGUAAAGCUCUGUGGGGAGGAAAGAAUAAGGGUUGACUAACACUCGACCUGAUGACGGUACCUCCUUCGCAAGCACCGGCUACCCCUGUUCCAGCAGCCGCGGUAAUACAGAGGGUGCAAACGCUGUUCGGAAUUACUGGGCGUAAAGCGGGUGUAGGCGGCUUGGUAAGUCGGGUGUGAAAUCCCAGGGCUCAACCCUGGACGUGCACUCGAAACUACUGAGCUAGAGUCCUGGAGAGGAAGGUGGAAUGCUUGGUGUAGAGGUGAAAUUCGUAGAUAUCAAGCGGAACACCGGUGGCGAAGGCGGCCUUCUGGACAGUGACUGACGCUGAGAUCCGAAAGCGUGGGGAGCAAAC